AGUCGAGCGGUAUGGCCCUUCGGGGGUACACGAGCGGCGAACGGGUGAGUAACGCGUGGGUAAUCUGCCUGGAAGUGGGGGAUAGCCCCGGGAAACCGGGGAUAAUACCGCAUAUGUCCGCGAGGACAAAGAUGGGGAUCUUCGGACCUGUCGCUUCCGGAUGAGCCCGCGUCCGAUUAGCUUGUUGGUGGGGUAAUGGCCCACCAAGGCCACGAUCGGUAGCCGGCCUGAGAGGGUGAGCGGCCACAUUGGGACUGAGACACGGCCCAGACUCCUACGGGAGGCAGCAGUGGGGAAUUUUGGGCAAUGGGGGCAACCCUGGACCCAGCGACGCCACGUGGAGGAUGACGGCCUUCGGGUUGUAAACUCCUGUCAGGUGGGAAGAACUCCUGUUGGUGAAUAGCCUUCAGGUCUGACUGUACCACCAAAGGAAGCCCCGGCUAACUCCGUGCCAGCAGCCGCGGUAAUACGGAGGGGGGCAAGCGUUAUUCGGAUUUACUGGGCGUAAAGCGCACGUAGGUGGCAAGGCAAAUCGAAGGUGAAAGCCCCCGGCUCAACCGGGGRGGUGSCUUUGAAACUGUUUUGCUUGAGUCCGGGAGGGGGGAGCACAAUUCCCAGUGUAGCGGUGAAAUGCGUAGAUACUGGGAGGAAUACCGGUGG
rnacentral:rRNA from 1 species